rnacentral:lncRNA from 1 species
UGGGGAUGAGCACGCCCCCAGGAACUUCCACCCAGCUCACAACCCAGCAGGGAGGGGUUUGUGUCACAUUCACCAUCUGACUAGGGAGAGACAGAGUUUGUGGUGAAUACCCACAUUCUUAGCCUAAGAUUCACCUGCUAAUUGCAUCUUCUAAUGUUGUCCAAGUUUUGCUAGGUGACACUCCUCACUCCAAGGAAGCUGUGCCUUUCUUAGGGUAGCCCCCAGGGCAUCUUGUUGCCAAAAGGCCUCAGUUUCCCUAGAGAUCUCGGUUCCUACACUAACUGCCAAGCGCUGGAAGGGUGGAACCAAGAUGAGGCACAGUGGGGCCGGUGCUCAGGAAAGCAGGCUCCUCUGGGGCAGAGAAUGCCCGCCAGAGAACAUGCCCCCCGACCUGGGCUCCCUUUCGGCCAUUGAUGAGGAAACCUGUCCCACGUCUGCGGCAGCGAUGAGGCCUGGAGGGCAGGGCCUGGCGCUGCCUGGCAAUGAGCGUCCCAGGUAUUUGGUGAGAGGUUCAACGGUCCAGACUUCGAGGGGGACAAUCUGGCAACAUGCAUCUGAAACCUUAAAGUGUACAUAUAGCCUUUGACUCUGCAAUAUCACUUACAUGAAUUUCUACUAAGGAAAUUGUUAAGGAUAUGUCCCAGUAAUCAUCCUCCAGGUGGUUGAUGGACAACCCUGUUGAAGAUUUCAAAAAUCAGAAAGGAGCUGUGUGUUAAACAAUAAAAGUUGUGUUAAAAGAUUGUCCGUCUAGUAAAUAAAGUAUUAUCC